rnacentral:rRNA from 1 species
GACGAACCGUGCGAACGUUAUUCGGAAUCAUUGGGCUUAAAGCGCGUGUAGGCGGAUUCGUGCGUCCGUCGCUGAAAUCCCCCGGCUCAACCGGGGAACGGGCGCGGAUACGACCUUCCUUGAGGGACGUAGGGGGACCUGGAACUUCCGGUGGAGCGGUGAAAUGCGUUGAGAUCGGAAGGAACGCCCGUGGCGAAAGCGAGGUCCUGGACGCCUACUGACGCUGAGACGCGAAAGCCAGGGGAGCGAACGGG